rnacentral:rRNA from 1 species
GAGUGAACGCUGGCGGUAGGCCUAACACAUGCAAGUCGAACGGCAGCACAGUAAGAGCUUGCUCUUACGGGUGGCGAGUGGCGGACGGGUGCGGAAUACAUCGGAAUCUACUUUUUCGUGGGGGAUAACGUAGGGAAACUUACGCUAAUACCGCAUACGACCUACGGGUGAAAGCAGGGGAUCUUCGGACCUUGCGCGAUUGAAUGAGCCGAUGUCGGAUUAGCUAGUUGGCGGGGUAAAGGCCCACCAAGGCGACGAUCCGUAGCUGGUCUGAGAGGAUGAUCAGCCACACUGGAACUGAGACACGGUCCAGACUCCUACGGGAGGCAGCAGUGGGGAAUAUUGGACAGUGGGCGCAAGCCUGAUCCAGCCAUACCGCGUGGGUGAAGAAGGCCUUCGGGUUGUAAAGCCCUUUUGUUGGGAAAGAAAAGCAGCAGGUUAAUACCCCGCUGUUCUGACGGUACCCAAAGAAUAAGCACCGGCUAACUUCGU